rnacentral:rRNA from 1 species
AUAUUAAUAAGCAAAGGAAAAGAAACUAACAAGGAUUCCCCUAGUAACUGCGAGUGAAGCGGGAAAAGCUCAAAUUUAAAAGCUGGCGGUCUUUGGCCGUCCGCGUUGUAAUCUAGAGAAGUGUUACCCGCGUUGGACCGUGUACAAGUCUCCUGGAAUGGAGCGUCAUAGAGGGUGACAAUCCCGUCUUUGACACGGACUCCCAAGGCUUUGUGGUGCGCUC